rnacentral:tRNA from 1 species
GCCUGGGUGGCUCAGUCGGUUAAGUAUCUGACUUCAGCUCAGGUCAUCAUCGACUUUGGCUCAGGUCGUGAUCUUGCAGUUCGUGAGUUCAAGCCUCACAUCAGGCU